rnacentral:rRNA from 1 species
CCUACGGGCGGCAGCAGUGGGGGAUAUUGCACAAUGGGGGAAACCCUGAUGCAGCGACGCCGCGUGAGUGAAGAAGUAUUUCGGUAUGUAAAGCUCUAUCAGCAGGGAAGAAAAUGACAGUACCUGACCAAUAAGCCCCGGCUAACUCCGUGCCAGCCGCCGCGGUAAUACGUAGGGGGCAAGCGUUAUCCGGAUUUACUGGGUGUAACGGGAGCGUAGACGGGUAAGUAAGUCUGGUGUGAAAGCCCGGGGCCCAACCCCGGGACUGCUUUUGAAACUGUGUAACUGGAGUACAGGAGGGGUAGGGGGAAUUCCUGGUGGAGGGGUAAAAUGCGUAGAUAUCAAGAGGAAUACUCGGGGCGAAGGCGGCCUGCUGGAACGUAACUGACGCUGAUGCUCGAAAGCGUGGGGAGCAAACAGGAUUAGAUACCCCAGUAGUC